rnacentral:rRNA from 1 species
AUGGACUUUAUUGAAGGAUUGCCCAAAUCCCAAGGGAAGGAAGUUAUUCUGGUGGUAGUGGGCAGGUACACCAAAUAUGCUCACUUCAUAGCAUUAUCACACCCAUAUACUGUUCACACUGUGGCACAAGCCUUUGUGGACACUGUGUUCAGGUUACAUGGAACUCCUGUCAGCAUUAUCACUGAUCGGGACAGAAUUUUUACAAGCAAUAUGUGGCAAGGAAUCUUUAAAGCUAUGAAAAUUGAGUUGAAGAUGAGCACUGCACAUCACCCCCAAACAGAUGGGCAAUCGGAAAGGGUGAAUCAAUGUCUCGAGUCAUACUUACGAUGUAUGGCAUUUCAAGAACCAAAGAAAUGGGCAGCCUGGCUUCCACUAGCUGAAUGGUGGUAUAACACCUCUUACCAUACUGCAACAAGAGAAACACCAUUCAAAGCUCUCUAUGGCUAUGAUCCACCUAUGAUCAGUGAAGUGGCUAUCCCCGGCCCGUCUGAUGCUCAAGCAAAAGAUUUCCUAAGUGACAAACAGAACACCCUGCGCCAGCUCAAGCACAACUUACAACAAGCCCAAGAGAGGAUGAAGAAAUAUGCUGAUAUCAACAGAUCUGAGAGAAAAUUCAAAGUGGGGGGCAUGGUCUACUUACGAAUGCAACCGUAUAGAAUGGCUUCUUUUGGACUCAGGCAAGUCAUUAAACUCACAACCAAGUUCUGUGGGCCAUUCCGAGUGAUGGAAAAAAUUGGGAACUGCUCAUACAGGUUGCUACCCCCCCAAAUCACUAUUCAUCCUGUGUUUCACGUGAGCCAAUUGAAGGCACACAAGGGAACCCAUGCUGUUCCUGCGCAAGAACUGCCACUGAUUGGAGCUGAUGGGAGAAUCAGAACAGAGCCUGUACACGUACUGGAAACUCGAUCACUGCCGCGCAAUGGCGUUUUGGUCACCCAGUGGUUAAUACAGUGGGCAAACUUGCCACCCGAGGAGCCCUCCUGGGAAGAUGCCAAUUUCAUCAAAAGAGUAUUUCCAGUAUUCUUCAAAAGCACCAUCCAAUCUUGGUUUCCUGACAGUAACACUUGA